AUACAUAGCAAAAAGAGUGGCUCAAAAAGGCUUAGGAAUCAUCAAGUGAUGAGCCUUUGAAGUUAUGAAAAACAAGAAAAAUAAAUAUGCAAAAAAAAUACAAUAAAUAAAAUGGGUCUGGGGCGAGGGGGAUUCAAACCCCAAACCCAAGAUAUAAACACUCUUAAAACGCACGCUCAUUGCCACUUAGGUGGCUGUUAC
rnacentral:lncRNA from 1 species